GCCACGGGAACUGUCCCCACGAGCUGCAUCCUCAGCCUCCCCUCCCAUGGGGUGCUUGGGGCUCUGGGCCACCACCGAGGGGACCUCGGAGGUUUUGGUGGGCUACAGGUGAUCCGUGUAAGAGGAAAAAAAGGAAACUAUCACUUGUUCAGAAGACUGUGCACAGGAUUUAUGAUAAGUAAGAUUUUGCUGUUUUUUCCUCUUGGUAUGCAGGCACUUUUUCAUAAGUUCUCUUCUGCCUUGGGUUGAGACAGGAUGCCCUUUAUGUUGGCAAUGUGAUGCUAUGGAGCUGGCAGCCUUCCUUUUUCACAGCCCCACACUAAAUGGAAGGCAGGCAGGCAAGGGAAAAUAAAUCUGAAAAGAGAGAAGGUUGUGCCGUUCUAGUUUCCCUUCCCCUCUUUUUCUGCCUGCUCUUUCCCCCAGGUCUUUUGCCCUACUAUAAAUGCAGGCAAAAGCCUGCAGUCUCGACGAGCAAAAUGAAGAGAGCCACGGGCUCAGGCAGUGUGUAUCUACUCUAAUUUCUCUUUUUUUAUUUCUAGUGAUCCAGACAAGACUUGCAUGUUUUCUGCUCCAUUCUUUGGGUCAAGAACACACUGGUUAAUAGCCAAUUAUUUCAUACCCUAAGGGAAUUUUGGGAAAGAAGUUUCUGGGAAGAGUCAACUUGUUUUGGGAAAUGAGACUAACAUUCAAUUCUGCAAGAUUAUUUUAUCCAUUAUGCGACCUUCUUACUUGACAUUCCUUUGUCAUAGCUCUGAAUCCAGGCACAAAGAGCUGCUGAAGGCUGGGAUGUAUAGGAAGGGAGAGGCCAGGAUUGCUACUCAGAGAUCCCAAAGCAGAAAAUGCAAGAUUGGAGCUCAGAGAGGAAGAAGGAUGGACUCCUGUGGAUGAGAAGAUGGGUUAAAAAUAUGCGAGAUUUAAACUUCUGGUCUUUUCACAAGAUAAUCAGCUCAAAUUAAUGGUUCAGAGCCAUGGAUCUAGUCAGACUGCUUCCAGAAUCAUUCCUAUGCCCUGGCCAGAAAUCUCACCAAAACCUGGGGCUUUGAAGUGGGGUGAUACAAUUCAAGAGAGGUUACUGAUGAAAUCACUCAAACCUGAGUCUGAACAAGUCAGCAGAGCUCAGCUUUCAGGAGUGAGUCAUGUUAAAACCAAGCAUAUGUUCCAAGUGUUUUUCUGGAUCAUGGCCAUAUUGAACUAUAAUGACCUAAAUGGAUUUACUCUCCAGACAAAUUUACCCUUUGCUUUCCUCCUGCCCACACGUACAUUUGCACCUCAAUCAAUCACUUAUUUCUCCUUCUACUUCCUGCAUGCUACUUUUAUUAAAAAAUUUACGACUUGUUUAAUCUCUUCUAAGCAUGGCUUUAUUUCCUCUAUUGGUUUCCUUGAUAAUUAUUCAUCAGGGCUUUUUUGCCCCUUCCUAAAGGUUUUCAAUUUUACUGUACAAAUUUAA
rnacentral:lncRNA from 1 species